GCCCGGCGAGGCCCUAGUCGUGGGCUCGGCGCCCAUCGGGCGCUUCUCUUCUGGCGUCGCAAGCUUCAGGCGUGGAUUGUUUUGGCGUCUCGGACGGUCGUCUUGGGCGUCGUCGUUCCCGGCUGCGUGAGCGGCGCCGCUCUGUCGCUAGCCGCCCUAGUUGGGCUCUCGAGGGGUGUUCCUGCAUGCGAUUGAGACCUGUGUCGUGUUUCAGCUGUCGCCGUGCAUGCAGGUGACUUGUUUGACAUCGGUUUGGCAGGUGCCGAGGGAGGAGUCGUGCAGGGUGAUGGAGGACGGCGCUGUCAGCAGGUGGUGGGCGAGCCUCAAGAUGGCGACCGUAUCUGAUGGAGGCCAGGCAGGUGAGCUGUCGAGGAAAAGGUGCCGCACGCAGGCUUCGGAGGGGAGACGCCGCAUGGCGACGAGAGGUCCGAGAGGUUGUGCGCCGGCUGCCUUUGGGCCUGGAUGCGCAUUUGAGGUGA